GGGAGGAGAUUGCUGGAACAAUUUUUCAGCACUUUGAACAGGAGGGCAACCGAGUCAUAUCAGUCGAGGAGUUGGCACAGGAACUAAAUCUUGCUCCGACUCAUUAUUCCAUCGUGCAAGAUUGGAU